rnacentral:rRNA from 1 species
CGGUAAUACGUAGGUGGCAAGCGUUGUCCGGAAUGAUUGGGCGUAAAGGGAGCGCAGGUGGGAAAGUAAGUCCCUCUUAAAAGUUCGGGGCUCAACCCCGUGAUGGGAGAGAAACUACAUUUCUUGAGUGCAGGAGAGGAAAGCGGAAUUCCUAGUGUAGCGGUGAAAUGCGUAGAUAUUAGGAGGAACACCAGUGGCGAAGGCGGCUUUCUGGACUGUAAUUGACGCUGANGCUCGAAAGCGUGGGUAGCAAACAGGAUUAGAUACCCUGGUAGUCCACGCCGUAAACGGUGAGUGCUAAGUGUUAGGGGGUUUCCGCCCNUUAGUGCUGGNUUAACGCAUUAAGCACUCCCCUGGGANUACGGCCCCAGGCUGAAACUCAAAGGAUUGACGGGGACCCCCCAANCGUGGAACAUGUGGUUAAUUCG